CUGUUUGAAAGAACACAGCGGUGAAAUCAUUUUGUUUUUUAUUAACACACUCCACUCUACGAAUUGCUUCCCCGAUACUUUUAUUCUCUUCACUCUUUUUUUUUUUAAGGGAAAAAUAGUUGCUUUGUGUUUGCUCUUGGUUUUAUCGGCAAAGAAGUGGAGUUUUUUUGGGCAUAUUCUUUACCAUGUUAAUUUUUCACAUUACAUAACAAGAGUUGAAUACCUUGUUAAUUAGUUGGAUAUUCUGAUUGUUAGAACGUGCUUAAUUUUUAGUUGGAUACCUUGUUAGUAAAGAUUAAAGCUAGCAAUGUAUAGAGUUCUAGAAAAAAUGACUUCUUUUUUAAAGAAUACAGCGGUGGAAUCAUUUUAUUUUUUAUUAUGUUUUUUUAUGUAUUUUUUUUCUGCUUCUGGUGGAAUCUGUGCCAUCGAAUUUGCACUGUGUGAUUCCACCAAGUACAUACUGUGGUCUUGAAAAAUUUUGUCUCAGUUUGUUUCUGUAUCACUAAAUGUCAAGACAAAUUGUGAUUUACUCAACUGCAUAAGAAUUGUGAUCUAUUCCUAGAGCAACAUAAAAUCCUAAAUGAAAAUGCACUAGAAAGCAACAUAUUGUUAGAGUUUUUUGUGACUAGAGAUAUUAGUUAUAUGUAUUUUAGGAUUAAUUUCACAUCCACUAGUAUGACGGUAGAGUACCAGUUUUCUUGUGCCAAUUUACACUUGUGCCAAUUUCUGCCAAUUUUCUUGUGCCAAUUUACAUUGUAGAAUUCGCAUUGUGAUAUGUGUAGAAAAUAUAUACAUUUCUUAAUUGUUUUUUUUGUUCAGGCUCAAGGUAAUUAUCAUGGAAUUGUCGUUGGUUGAAUCUACAAGUUGUCGUAGAUUGAAUUUUGAUGCAAGUGAUGACUGUCGGGAUAAUGAGUUUGAUGUUAUUGAUGAGGGUACGGACUCUACCAUGUUAUUGAUGAGUUCUGACACAUCUAUCAUAGAAGAAUUGAUGCCAAAAAUCGGUAUGGAAUUUAAGACAGAAGAGGAUGCCUAUGAAUUUUAUUUGAAAUAUGCUAAACAAGUUGGAUUUGGCAUAAGAAGGAGUAAAAGCCACAAUGAUAAAUCGGGUAAAUUAGUUGAUAGGAUUUUUUGUUGUUGUGCACAAGGAAAAAGGGGAAAAGACAAACGAGAUGUUUAUGUGAAAUCUCAUCGUCCUGAAACAAGGUUUGGUUGUGAUGCUAAAAUGAAGAUUAGUUGUCGAAAAAAUGGCAACUUGAGUGUGGAGCAAUUUGUUAAAGAGCAUAACCAUUAUCUUUCAAGUCCAAACAAAACUCACCUCUACAGAAGUCAUAGGAAUAUAUCAUCUUCUGCGGCAAUACAAAUUGAGAUGGCAAGUGAUGUGGGAAUCCAUCCAAAAGCAUCUCAUGAUCUUAUGGUGAAACAAGUAGGUGGGAGGGAUAAUUUAGGUUUUAUUCCUCAAGAUUACAACAACUACUUGCGAGCCAAAAGAACAAGAAAUAUCAGAGUUGGUGAUACAGGAGGUGUAUUGGAAUAUUUGCAGAAAAUGCAGUUUGAUGAUCCUAAUUUUUUUUAUGCUAUUCAAGUUGAUGAAGAUGAUUUGAUAACUAAUAUUUUUUGGUGUGAUGCUAAGAUGAGAGCUGAUUAUGGCAAUUUUGGAGAUGUUGUUUGCUUUGACACAACCUACAGGAAGAACAAUGAAGGUCGUCCAAUUGCGUUGUUUGUGGGUGUUAAUCAUCAUAAGCAAUCCAUAAUUUUUGGUGCAGCUUUAUUAUAUGAUGAAACAUCUUUGACAUUCGAGUGGUUGUUUGAUACAUUUACUAAAGCUAUGUGUGAAAAAAAACCAAUAACUAUUCUUACAGAUCAAGAUGCAGCAAUGGCAAAGGCUUUGACUUCCAGAUGGCCUGAAACACAUCAUCGUUUGUGUAUUUGGCACAUUUAUCAAAAUGCGGCAAUACAUUUGAGUAGAGUUUUUUCUGAGUUCAAAGAUUUUACUAAAGAUUUUGCGUCGUGUAUAUAUGAUUUUGAUGAAGAAGAAGAUUUUAUUUCAUCUUGGAAUAUGAUGUUAACUAAGUAUGCACUUGAAGACAAUGAUUGGUUGAGACGUAUGUUUUGCAUAAAAGAAAAAUGGGCUUUAGUAUAUGGACGACAUAUGUUUUGUGCAGAUAUGACUACAACCCAAAGAAGUGAGAGCAUGAAUAGUAUUCUAAAAAGGUAUGUCACUUAUCAACACAAGUUUUUAGACUUUUUCAAUCACUUCCAAAGACUGCUUGAUGAUCGUCGAUAUGAGGAGUUAAAAGCUGAUUUUAGAUCAAAUACAAGUGUUCCAUGUCUAUUGUAUCCAAUUGAAAUUUUAAAGCAUGCAUGUUCUAUUUAUACUCCUGAGGCAUACAAGUGUUUUGAACAAGAGUGGUACAAAUCUCAUGAUUCUAUUAUACAAAUUUAUGAGGAUGUUGGAUCACAUACAAAAUACAAAGUUACAUCUCACAAAAAGAGUUACCAUCAUAUAGUUACACUUUAUUCAUGGGGUCAAAAGAUUGAGUGUAGUUGUAGAAAAUAUGAUUUUGCUGGGAUUUUGUGUUCUCAUAUUUUGAAAGUAUUUACGAUGAAAAAUAUCAUGGAAAUCCCAAGUGAGUAUAUAUUGAAAAGGUGGACACGAAAAGCAAAAGAUGGAUACUUUGGAGUUACUGAACUUGUUGCAAACAAAGGUAGUUUGGAUCCAAAAACUUGCAAAAGUAUGCGAUAUAAAGAAUUGAGUGGAUUGUAUGUUCAACUGGUUACCAAGGCAGCAGAGAGGGAAGACACUUACAAGGUUGUUAAAGAUGGUUUGUUGAGUAUGUUUCAGAUGGUGGAUGAGAGGUUACAAGUUAAUGAACCAACUGUCCAACACUCUAUUGAAAGAGAAUUUGAAAUUGGCGAAGGAAACUCUCUUGGAGUCAAAGGAAUUAAAACAAAGAAGAAAGUGAUUUCAGGUAAGAGAUUGAAAAGUGGCUUGGAUAAGAUUUCAAAGAAAAGAAAAGCGGCGAGGAAAAAUAACCAAACUUCAACAAUUGUUAAGGCUAUAGGAGAGCAUUAUGAAAGUAUAUCCAGCAUGCCUAGUGUUGAAGGUUUGAGUAUGGUCGAAACUCAAUUUCAACCACUUUUGUCAACACAACUAUCUCAGGUUCACUCUGAUAUUGGUUAUUUUCAGACAAAUGACCAGGAGCGAUGCAGCCACCAGUUGUAAGUUGAGAGCCUUGUAUCAGCACACACAGUACCACAAACAUUCUUGAAAGAAGAGCAUAAAAUUUGCUACAUUGGAUUCUGGAGGCACCAGUGGUCAGUCCUGGAUACAUAAAGGUCAGAGGAGGGUUAUUCUUACGCAACAAAGAGUGAUGAUUGAUGUCUCCUUUCCAUUCUAAUGCAUGUGAAACUAUGUUCUAGUAACUAAAACGACAUUUGUAACUUUUUGUAAUAGCAAUAGUAUGCAUAGUUAAGGUUUUUGUAUGCUAUGCAAAGUGUGUUUUAGAACCCAUCUUAAUAUUUGAAACUCUCUUUCUAUAAUUAUUAGCAUUCUGGU